UAGAAGGCCCACGGCUCGUGAACUUCUUUUCUCAGAGAAGAAGCAAUGCCUGUAUUUGGGGAAUAAGCAUUAGCUAACUCUGUACCAGCAACCACAAUAAUACAAAUGAUGCAAGCAUUAUCAAGAAUGAUUAGGUGUAAAGUGUAUAUAGAUGGAUUUUUAAGUCCGUCGUCAAAUCCCAGGGCUCAAUCCUUGACAGGCGGUGGAAACUACCAAGUUGGAGUACGGUAGGGGCAUAGGGAAUUUCUGGUGGAACGGUGAAAUGCAUAGAAAUCGGAAAGAACCCCAACAGUGAAAGCACUCUGUUGGGCCGACACCGACAGUGAGAGACAAAAACUAUGGGAGUGAAUGGGAUUAGAUACCCAGUAGUCCUAGCCAUAAACGAUGGAUACUAAGUAUUGUGCAUAUCGGCAGUACUGUAGCUAACACGUUAAGUAUCCCGCCU
rnacentral:rRNA from 1 species